AACUGGUUAAACUUAAAGCCGAUAUUUUCUAUCGAACUAGUCUAUUUUCUGUUCAGACACAAAGUUUUCUGAUGCUGAUAUUAUGUCAGUGUGUGUUUGUGUGGGGGUCGUGUGAUGUAAUCUUUGAAAGUUUAUGACCGAACUUUUAUUGGGGAGCGACAAGAGAUCUCCCGGACUCAGGAUGGAUGGAGCAGAACUGUUAUACUCAAGUCUAUCGCGAAAUUGUCUAAACUGGUAUUAACUAUUCCUGGUAAAUCGCGGAGAAGAGUGGAAUGAACAAAAAAGGCAGACCGAGACUAGAACCACCAGCAGCGUAACACGGAAAUCUUGGAACAAAGAGACACCGAGUGGUUCGUGUUGUCCGGUUUGGAUAUCAGCGGUAAAGCGAACGUUGUGUGUACUAUUGCAAAAUAUAUAUAGCGGAUCUCCACGGUUAGGAUACAGACCACAACGCUUUGGACGUAUCUUUAAAAAAGAGAAAAAUCAGAGACUUUUUGGAUUUGUCUGGGGGACAUUUUAAACAUUUUGUGACAAAUUGGAUUUAAAACAUUUCGGAUAUUGGAUACCUAGUUUGAUAUGUCCACAGAGAUUGUUUAAGACGUUUUCACCUCAUUUUAGGGUUUAUUUUUAAUUAAAGGCUUCUUAAAACAUGUAUGAAAAUGUGUAUAUUAUACA